rnacentral:rRNA from 1 species
AUUGAACGCUGGCGGCAGGCCUAACACAUGCAAGUCGAACGAGUGGCGGACGGGUGAGUAAUGUCUGGGAACUGCCUGAUGGAGGGGGAUAACUACUGGAAACGGUAGCUAAUACCGCAUACUAUCGGAUAACCCAUAUGGGAUUAGCUAGUAGGUGAGGUAAUGGCUCACCUAGGCGACGAUCCCUAGCUGGUCUGCGAGGAUGAUCAGCAACACUGGGACUGAGACACGGCCCAGACUCCUACGGAGGCAGCAGUGGGGAAUAUUGCACAAUGGGCGCAAGCCUGAGGCAGCCAUGCCGCGUGAAUGAAGAAGGCCUUAGGGUUGUAAAGUACUUUCAGUCGGGAGGCGUUACCGACAGAAGAAGCACCGGCUAACUCCGUGCCAGCCGCCGCGGUAAUAC